rnacentral:rRNA from 1 species
UGGGGAAUUUUGGACAAUGGGCGAAAGCCUGAUCCAGCAAUGCCGCGUGUGUGAAGAAGGCCUUCGGGUUGUAAAGCACUUUUGUCCGGAAAGAAAUCCUUGGUUCUAAUACAGUCGGGGGAUGACGGUACCGGAAGAAUAAGCACCGGCUAACUACGUGCCAGCAGCCGCGGUAAUACGUAGGGUGCAAGCGUUAAUCGGAAUUACUGGGCGUAAAGCGUGCGCAGGCGGUUUGCUAAGACCGAUGUGAAAUCCCCGGGCUCAACCUGGGAACUGCAUUGGUGACUGGCAGGCUAGAGUAUGGCAGAGGGGGGUAGAAUUCCACGUGUAGCAGUGAAAUGCGUAGAGAUGUGGAGGAAUACCGAUGGCGAAGGCAGCCCCCUGGGCCAAUACUGACGCUCAUGCACGAAAGCGUGGGGAGCAAACAGGAUUAGAUACCCUGGUAGUCCACGCCCUAAACGAUGUCAACUAGUUGUUGGGGAUUCAUUCCUUAGUAACGUAGCUAACGCGUGAAGUUGACCGCCUGGGGAGUACGGUCGCAAGAUUAAAACUCAAAUGAAUUGACGGGGUCAUAGCUGUUUCCU